rnacentral:rRNA from 1 species
UACGUAGGGGGCAAGCGUUGUCCGGAUUUAUUGGGCGUAAAGAGCGUGUAGGCGGCCAUACAGGUCAGCUGUGAAAACUCGAGGCUCAACCUCGAGACGUCGGUUGAAACCGUAUGGCUAGAGUCCGGAAGAGGAGAGUGGAAUUCCCGGUGUAGCGGUGUAAUGCGCAGAUAUCGGGAAGAACACCCGUGGCGAAGGCGGCUCUCUGGGACGGUACUGACGCUGAGACGCGAAAGCGUGGGGAGCGAACAGG